AUAGUGGACGUUACUCGCAGAAUAAGCACCGGCUAACUCUGUGCCAGCAGCCGCGGUAAUACAGAGGGUGCUAGCGUUAAUCGGAUUUACUGGGCGUAAAGCGUGCGUAGGCGGUUUGAUAAGUCGGUUGUGAAAGCCCCGGGCUCAACCUGGGAAUUGCGGCCGAUACUGUCAGACUAGAAAACGGUAGAGGGAGGCGGAACUCCAGGUGUAGCGGUGAAAUGCGUAGAUAUCUGGAAGAACACCGAUGGCGAAGGCAACCUCCUGGGCCUGUUUUGACGCUGAGGCACGAAAGCGUGGGUAGCAAACAGGAUUAGAUACCCUGGUAGUCCACGCCGUAAACGAUGAGAGCUAGUUGUCUGGCAGCAUGCUGUUAGGUGACGCAGCUAACGCAUUAAGCUCUCCGCCUGGGGAGUACGGCCGCAAG
rnacentral:rRNA from 1 species